GUUAAGCGACUAAGCGUACACGGUGGAUGCCCUGGCAGUCAGAGGCGAUGAAGGACGUGCUAAUCUGCGAUAAGCGUCGGUGAGGUGAUAUGAACCGUUAUAACCGGCGAUUUCCGAAUGGGGAAACCCAGUGUGUUUCGACACACUAUCAUUAACUGAAUCCAUAGGUUAAUGAGGCGAACCGGGGGAACUGAAACAUCUAAGUACCCCGAGGAAAAGAAAUCAACCGAGAUUCCCCCAGUAGCGGCGAGCGAACGGGGAGGAGCCCAGAGCCUGAAUCAGUGUGUGUGUUAGUGGAAGCGUCUGGAAAGGCGUGCGAUACAGGGUGACAGCCCCGUACACAAAAAUGCACAUAUUGUGAGCUCGAUGAGUAGGGCGGGACACGUGGUAUCCUGUCUGAAUAUGGGGGGACCAUCCUCCAAGGCUAAAUACUCCUGACUGACCGAUAGUGAACCAGUACCGUGAGGGAAAGGCGAAAAGAACCCCGGCGAGGGGAGUGAAAAAGAACCUGAAACCGUGUACGUACAAGCAGUGGGAGCCUCUUAAUGGGGUGACUGCGUACCUUUUGUAUAAUGGGUCAGCGACUUAUAUUCUGUAGCAAGGUUAACCGAAUAGGGGAGCCGAAGGGAAACCGAGUCUUAACUGGGCGUUAAGUUGCAGGGUAUAGACCCGAAACCCGGUGAUCUAGCCAUGGGCAGGUUGAAGGUUGGGUAACACUAACUGGAGGACCGAACCGACUAAUGUUGAAAAAUUAGCGGAUGACUUGUGGCUGGGGGUGAAAGGCCAAUCAAACCGGGAGAUAGCUGGUUCUCCCCGAAAGCUAUUUAGGUAGCGCCUCGUGAAUUCAUCUCCGGGGGUAGAGCACUGUUUCGGCAAGGGGGUCAUCCCGACUUACCAACCCGAUGCAAACUGCGAAUACCGGAGAAUGUUAUCACGGGAGACACACGGCGGGUGCUAACGUCCGUCGUGAAGAGGGAAACAACCCAGACCGCCAGCUAAGGUCCCAAAGUCAUGGUUAAGUGGGAAACGAUGUGGGAAGGCCCAGACAGCCAGGAUGUUGGCUUAGAAGCAGCCAUCAUUUAAAGAAAGCGUAAUAGCUCACUGGUCGAGUCGGCCUGCGCGGAAGAUGUAACGGGGCUAAACCAUGCACCGAAGCUGCGGCAGCGACACUAUGUGUUGUUGGGUAGGGGAGCGUUCUGUAAGCCUGUGAAGGUGGCCUGUGAGGGUUGCUGGAGGUAUCAGAAGUGCGAAUGCUGACAUAAGUAACGAUAAAGCGGGUGAAAAGCCCGCUCGCCGGAAGACCAAGGGUUCCUGUCCAACGUUAAUCGGGGCAGGGUGAGUCGACCCCUAAGGCGAGGCCGAAAGGCGUAGUCGAUGGGAAACAGGUUAAUAUUCCUGUACUUGGUGUUACUGCGAAGGGGGGACGGAGAAGGCUAUGUUGGCCGGGCGACGGUUGUCCCGGUUUAAGCGUGUAGGCUGGUUUUCCAGGCAAAUCCGGAAAACCAAGGCUGAGGCGUGAUGACGAGGCACUACGGUGCUGAAGCGACAAAUGCCCUGCUUCCAGGAAAAGCCUCUAAGCAUCAGGUAACAUCAAAUCGUACCCCAAACCGACACAGGUGGUCAGGUAGAGAAUACCAAGGCGCUUGAGAGAACUCGGGUGAAGGAACUAGGCAAAAUGGUGCCGUAACUUCGGGAGAAGGCACGCUGAUAUGUAGGUGAAGCGACUUGCUC
rnacentral:rRNA from 1 species